CCAGGCACGGGGUAGCGAGGUGACAGAGCGGGUGGAGCGCCCCUGUACAGAGGAGCCCACCCACUACGGCCAAGCGCGGAGCACUCAGACCCGGGAGCGGAACACGAGGCGGGGGCCGAUGCUGCGCGGUACCGCGAGGGGGAGGCAAAGGGCCGCGCUGCCGGGGAGGGACGGCCGGGCACUGCCGGCUGCCCGGGGGAGGGAGAUCCCUGCCGGCAGCCCGGCCCUGCCGUGUGUAACUGGGAAAGAGAAAGAGAGGCGAAGGCUGGAGGCGGCUUGUCCUCAGUGGAGGGGCAAGGGAAGCGUGGGCCCGGCUGGUAGGAGGAGGUGAAAACUUGCAAAGCGAUGUCAGCAGAGGAAGACUCGCGAAAGCAGCGCCUGCCAGCGGGGCACCCAUCUCUAUUUCACACCGUGCCCACGGAGCCGUGUAUGCGACGUACAGACCCGUGGCCAAGGCCUAGGGGCAGCUCUGCUCGAUAGCGGAGGGCACUGCUGUUGAGCUGCAGGGAGAGGUGCGCGGCUCAAAUCCCCCGGCUUCUGUGGUUGCGUUCCCACACCUUCCCUGAUUUACUGACACCCAGCUGCCGGCGGGAUGCUGAGAGCAGCCCACCAACUUCCAGAUGUGAUCCUGCUACAGGUAUCAGGGAGGUGACUCCUCCUCCUGUCUCCAAAACACGGCAUCUCAGCACAUCUGCUCUGGCAGCUCCUGCGUUGUCAUUCCCAGGCUGCCGCUGGCAGCUCUCCAGGCCAAACUCCACAUAGCUGUGAGCUGUGAGCCAGCAUCCAGAGUGGGCAUGGGCUGCUUUCUGGCCAUGCUGCCACUGCAUGCCUGAGACUACAUAGGAGCCCCAUAUCUGCAGACAUGGAAGCCGGAGCAGGGCACCACAAGAGUUUGCUUCGAUGACAGCUGUCCUGUCUGCUCCUCUCUGAGUGGAAGAAACAGCAGCAGUAUCUUCCCAUCACACCCUGACAAUGAAGUACCCAGAGCCAUCCAGACAAGCCUAUCUUCUCAGUGCCACACUACAGCUCUCACAGGAGAAACCUGUAGGAUAAACAGUCUGUCCAAGCUCUAUGAAAAUUCAGCAUUGUUAAAACCUCCUAAGAGACUGCAGUGCAAAGCUGUAUUUGCUUUUAUAUACAAGCUAGCCAAGUAGGCAGAAAUACACUAUAGGCCACCAGUCUAUUCAGGAUUAGAUGAACUAAUGAUUCUUUCUUGGCUGCUUUCAAGUGCUUAGGAGCUUUGGAAUUAUCCCAGAGCAAAAGGACCUUUAAAGCUGCAGCAGAAAUGCUAAGUCACAGCCUGAAGCAGUGAUUGAGCACCUGGUGGGAAGGCAGGGCCAACCCAGGGGAGCUCAGCUGCAUGCAAUACACCUGAGUGACUGGAAGGAAUAGUGCCAGGAUCCACCCGUUCCCAGACCUCAUUUAAGGAUGGGCAGUGGGGGUGAGGAUAUUUUUCUGGAGAUCCCUGCCUACCUGAGACCUUCCAAAGCCCAGAGCACCUACGAGACAUUCCUGGUGGGGAGCCAGCUGCGGCAUCACUCUUUGGCAGCUGCCAAGCCUGCUUGAGAAGUUCUAAGCAAGGACAGCACUUCUGGUAGAAGAGUUCCUGGGAGGAGAUGCUACCUGCUGCUAGAGUGCCUGGCUAAGUGCCCAUUACCCUCACUGCUCAGCAGCUGUCUUCACAUGACCACAGUGUGACAUGACAGAUCUGCAUUAUCAUGGCAGCAAGCCAUACUUCUUCUCCCAAAACCUGGAUCUUAUCUUGUCACUGGUGACAUUUCCUCCAUCAAAAAGUGACCACCAACUGUUCCUUCAUUUCUUUCCCUUUGGCUGGGAAAUGACAUUACGCCCUUUGCACUUCUUAGAACUGAGCCUUUCCCAGCCCAUUGCAGUUCUGAAUUUGGAAACUAGGCUGCUGUUUGUGCAGAAACCUUUAUAUUCCCUCCUGACCCCACAAUCACUCCAGGAAAAAAAAAAAUACAUCUGUCAUUCAACAAAAUUCUCUAAUUUUUUAUUCCAGUGAUUAAUUCUUGCAUCAAAAUAACCAUAAUGUUUAGCAGUUAUGUAGCCUUUUGCCUAUAGAUGUCAAAGUGCUUCACAUAGCUGUUUUUCCAGAUAGGAAACUGAAACACGAGAGAUGAAGUGACUUUGCUCAAGGUCCCAGAGAAAAACAAUAGCAGAGCCAGGAAUAAAACUCGUGCCUUCUAAUUCCCGGAACAGCAGUCAAUCAACUUGGUCAAGUUGGGACUUCAUCUGUGGCUAUUAUUCUCUUCUAAUGAAGCAAUUUAUCUAUGAACUGCAUCUGAAUCAGAUUCCCUAGCAAAUUGAUUACACAUGCCUAAUUAACUUAUUAGAACUGAGGUUCAGCUUGAUCCACCUCAUCAAACAUGACUGGAAAUAGCUGUUUCUCUGGCGUAUAGGAGUGGGUAUCUUACUCCUUGUUGAAGGAGGACUUCCCAAUGUCUGAGCAAUAAAACCCAACACUCAGGAGCUUCUUGCAAAGCUUACUUCAAAUAUUUUUUCAGAUUUUUUGAGUCACCCAUCUGAAACUAGAUGUCCAAUUUCCCUCAAGAUUGCUAAGGCUUAUUAAUAAAAUGGCUGUAUCCAUUUGGACUGUAGCUGCAAGUUUCCCAAGAGAAACUGCUAUCUGUAAAAUGAUUCAAAUGUUUACAGGCAGAGUUACACUGGGCUGACUAAGGCAUGUCUCCAUCCUUGCAGAGUUCAAGAACUGUGAAGACAAUGAUCAACGCAACAUAACUUCCAGGUCUGUCUCAUUUUUAUGACUACUUCAGUCUGUUUCUUAUUCGAGUCUACUGUCAUUGCACCAAUGUGCAAGCUGGUCUUCAUCCCAUAAGUGUCAUGUAUGUGGCCAUUAGCAAAUGAAGAACAAGAAGUGCACAGAAGAACUAGAAUUUUUCAACUGGCAAUGAGAAACAUGUUGGGUGAAACUGUGGCUCCACUGUGAUAAUGGCAAAGAUCUCCUUUUGAGUUCAGGAAGGCCAAGAGAAACAGAUUUCAGAAGGGAAGAAGAGAUAUUACUUUAAGAGGCUUUUACUGGGGCACAUGGAAAACAGUGUACCCCAAACCAUUAUGAAUGAUGGGAAGUGCAGGUCUUUAGUCCUAACCUCUUUAUGCCUAAGAAAACAUAUUGUGUGCAGUUCUGCUCUUUUCUUAAUAGGCAGCUUAAGAAGAUGAAAGAGACAACGUUGUCUCUAAAAAUACUUGGUUCUCCUUAAAAUUAUGUACCUACUAUUCUUUUGAGCAGCUGAGCUAAUUAAAUGAGGAGCUAAAAUACAUCCUUGUUUUAGCUUUGCUCAGUGUGCUUCAUUUAAGGUUUACAGGUCAUUGUUGAAUAAUCGAACUGUUUCUCCCAGUGAGCCAGUUCCCAUCCUUUCCUGGCUAUUAGUCUGCUUUCACACAGCAGUAAGAGGGAGGUGAAAAAAUGAAAGGAUUUCUACAAAACAAAACAAACCAGCCAAAGCCAGUGGGUGAACACAGAGGGAAGUCUGCUAUACUAAGCUGACUGUCCACUUAAUAAAUGUGCAUUUAUUCCACCAUCUUUUUUAAGUUCCAAAUGCGAGGUUGUGUUGAAAGCAGACUAACUACAGAAAGUAUAUUCUCUUUAAGAAGUGCACUGAAAAACAGUCUAGUGCCUGUACAACUGUGUUCUGCUGGAUGAGGCCGUGGUUGGCCUAAACUCCAUCUUGUUAACAAUACAGAUAAUGGCUCAUAUAGCCAAAAGGCUAAUGCACAUUCUUCUUUGGCUAAGGAACUGGGGUCUGCCUAAUAUUUCAAAAAAUGAAGCUUUCUAUUCUAGGCUUCCUGUUGUCGUGCAGUGUAUCGUAGCUAUAAAAUUCAGAAAUAAAUAGUCCUGUUGCUCCUAACAGACCUUAGGUUUGCUUUAACGUGCUCCUACAGUUGUGCCUUUUUACACGUGCAAGCUUCCUCUCUUAACUGAGCUGUGGCAAACAAACCAUAAACUCUCAGCACUUCUGCUCUGGCAGAAGAGGAGAAAAGAAUUCUUACUUCAGUAAGAAGUAAUUUUGAGGACUCCAUCUGGUCCUUGGAUUUCCCAUAUCUAUCUCAGUCCACGCUGCCUGCUUUUGUUCAGUCAAUAAUAUAAAUCAAGUGCCUCAGUGCAACCGAAAGGAAAGCCAAGUAAAAAUUAUGCUUCCUGUUUGUGGUGUGUAGGUGUUGCACAUCUAAGAGCUAUAACAGUGGCUUAAUGCAUAUAGAGUAUUUCCAGUCUUAACAGAAAACAGGAGUGUCCAUUCAGUCAGUCUAUACCAUAAAACCUUGGGAUCCCAUUGCCACUCAGCCAGCAUCUCCAGGCAGGGAUGCCCACAGGCUGUGUAAGGCCUAGUUCUUUUCUUCUCACAUUUCAGCAGCCCUUUUUUUUUGGCAGUAAGCUGUACCAUGAAAAAUAGAGCCAUAUGCUAUACACUCCAAGUAGAAAUCUGUUCCCUUCCACAUUUUCUUGUAUAAAGCCCUUAUAUGCCUUCCGCUCUCUUUAGGGACAGACUGGCUAAUCCAUAGGACCAGAGAGAUGCUUCAAGUUCACAAGCCUCCGCAUUUCAGAUCCUGCUCCAGUUUAAACCAUGUUCCCCUUGGCACACAUCUUUCCUUGCCCUCAAAAUACCACAGCUUGCUCCUUCUGUAUCCUUUUGCCAUAGUCAGAUUUAAAUUAGAGGCAAUCAUCUAUCAAUAGUCAGAGUAUUUUAGCAUCUAAAGCAACCUGAUGAAAAUUGCCCUAAACCUCCUCCUGCUUCAUUUUCUUCUCUGUAAUUAUGAGAUGGUAUUUUGAUCUCAUUAUUGGCUCUGUGGCAUUGUGUGUUUGUCCGAGAAGGGCUGUGACAUGGUCAAACAGCCAGGACACAGAUGAAACACAGAGGUUGCUACGUUACUCAUCAGGCCUUGAUUUCUUCUGGGGAUAGAGAAGCUUAUUCUGGCCAGGGAAAUUACACUAGUGUGACUGGGAAGAGAUUUUGUUUUUCUUCUGCUGCAGAACUAGGAACAGGUAUGAAUGCAGUGCUUUUAAGGUUAGAGAGCCCAGCCUUCAUUAACAGGCCUGGGGAAGAGAGUUCCAUGAUAGAGGGAAUAUCUGGGAACCUGUGGAAAAGAAACAGCUGCAGUGUUUAAGCCCAUGACCACACAACACAGAAACAUGCUUGUGCUAAAUGUGAACAAGUGGUGUUAGACCUUCAAGCGCUUCCUUGCUGUAUCUGUGUCAGACCUGGACCAGGUUGGCAGAACACUUGCAGCUAACGUUGCUUGCAUAGAAAUAGCCCACAGAGACAGCAGCCAGAUCUCUGAGCUCUCACCCCAAGUUUUACAUAACUGCAGCCCCAGGGGAGUUGUGUACAGCCCUGGCCAAGGGCUGCAGGCUGUCCCCCUGGCUGCCGGCCCUGUGCCCUUGCUGAUGGCUUGCUUCCCUGCCUCACAACUCCCUCCCCGCCACAGCUCUGAUUCCAUGGGCAGGAGAGGGAUGCCUGUGUCCCCGAGAGAACCAUGCUGCAGGAGGCACAUGUGUAGCCCAGUGGUGGGGCAGGCUCCCUCCAGGCUACACAAAGCCCAACCCUGGGGUACCGAAGGGCUCAUGGGGACCCCUGGGAGGCAGCCUUGGGGUUGAGCGUGUGUAACCCCAGCUUUCCUCUAAAACAAAAAGCGAGGCUCUCAGCCUUUGUCCAUGCUAGGAAGCUAAACAUGUGAACUGAAGUAACCCAUUUGCUAAGAUUGAAUGCAUCUGGAUGUCUCUGAGCGCAUCUGGGCUCCACUUCUCUAGACAGAGGAUGGAGGGGGAGGGGAAGAGAGACUGGGGAGGGUUAAGAUAGGCAGGAGCACAUACAAACACACAUGUAUUUUUAAGGAAAUAUGAGUCACUUGCACUUCAAGGUUAUUCCAAAAAUCAACUCCCAGACCUCCCCCAACUCCUGCCCCCAACUCUUGAGGCAGGCCCUGUGCAACCGGGUGUGAUAAAUAGGGAUAAAAAUUGGAUACAUCUGUGGGGAGGAGGCAAAGUGCUAUUUUCCAACCUGCCCUGACAUGCUAAGGCCACUGCACUGUUGAGUCCUUGCCCUGGCUUGGAGCUCCGUUCCUGCCGCUGUAGGUGGGGUGAGAGGCACAGAGCGGGCAGGGGGUGGCUGUUGAUGUGGGAUCCCCUGUCCUGCAGUCACUGACCCUGGUGCAUGAGGAGCUGGUACCAGGUGGGCAACAAAUCUCUCUGCAGCAGCCAGCUGCAGGUCUGGCACUGCCUGUGCUUAGAAGUACUGGGGCAUCGGACAGGGUGACGGGCCACCGCCGGGACAAGAAAUAGUGCAAAUGGGACAGUGGGACAGCAUUUCGUGCUGGUGCCUCUGGGGGAAGCUUUGGCAGCAGUCAGGCUCUGUGUCACACAGGCCCUAAGAAUGGCAAGGCAGGGCGCUGCAGAGCAGACCCUCUGCUUCAGCCCCCAGUAAAGUGGGCUCUGAAACCCCAUCUUUGACACAACUUAUAGCUGUCACGUGCUGCCUGCAUGCCUGACAUGUCCCCUGGUCUGCUGCUCCCCCCGAUGUGCUUACCUUGCCAGCAGCACUGCGACCUGUGGGCAGUCUGGGGGCACCUGACUUCCCUGUCAGCAGUCCAUGAGAUGCUGACAGCCAUCUGUGCCAGCGGCUCCAGCCUCUUCCAGGUGUAAACAGCCCGCAUUCGUGGCCACAUGACAGCAAAUCUGCACUCACCAGUAAAUGCCUUUCGCUUAGUCUUAUCAAGAAGAAACUGAACAUGCUGGCUCAGCAGAAACUGGAGCAAGGCUUGACUACAAAAAAGAUUAUUCUGCUUUAACAAGGCUUCCCCUUCGAAAGAAUAAUAUUGGCAGUACUAAAGCCCAGAUCGGAAACAAUGUGUGGCUUUUGUUUUCUUUUUUUCCUAUACUUUUUUCCUCCUUCAUUCUUGGUGUUGGGACUGGAGAGGAAAGUCUCUGUCUUGCCAAACUAAACAAAUUACGCUUUACAAUUCGGAGACUUAAAUGCCUUUUUUUUAUCAUCAUUUCCUUAGCUUUGAGUGUUGAGAAAAUAAAGCAGUAGUAGGUGAAGUGAUUGCAUACCCUUUUCUUGAUGGCCACUGGCAAACAAAUCCAGCCAGUUGUUUCUCUUUAAAGCUAUUAAGUUUGCCUGGAAACCAUCCCUGGGCAGACCUCCCCCCACACGCUCUCCAUACCAGCAAGAAAUGAAUCAAUAAAGCAGAGCCCCUUCCUGCUAUUCUUACCACCCCUGCAGAUCUCUCCACUUCCCAUGACAGCGCGUGAGCUCAAACCCCUCUGACCACACUGAAGGAAAGGCACUGAUUCGGCCGUGCCGGGAAUGCAGACGCUCACUUA